AAUUUUCCUCGGGGUCCCAAGGGACCUUACAGUGUCUGUUAUUAUCAGUUUAAUAUCUGAUACAUCCUCUAUCUGAGGACAAUAUAUUAAAUGGAUUUUUGGAACUAGCAGUUGGAAAAGGAGCUUGCUCUAUCCACGUCUAUUCCACACAUUGACCUGAUAUUGCAGUACCUCUAGGAAUGGUGCACCAAAA